GUGCCAGCAGCCGCGGUAAUACGAAGGGGGCUAGCGUUGUUCGGAAUUACUGGGCGUAAAGCGUGCGCAGGCGGUCUUCCAAGUCAGUGGUGAAAGCCCGGAGCUCAACUCCGGAAUUGCCAUUGAAACUGUGAGGCUUGAGGACGAGAGAGGUGAGUGGAAUUCCCAGUGUAGAGGUGAAAUUCGUAGAUAUUGGGAAGAACACCGGUGGCGAAGGCGGCUCACUGGCUCGUUUCUGACGCUCAGGCACGACAGCGUGGGGAUCAAACAGGAUUAGAUACCCGUGUAGUCC
rnacentral:rRNA from 1 species